GUCGCGACCCKUUGGAUUGCAGUGUAAGAUUUUUWUWGGGAGUUGUCAAGAAGCGAUWUWUAUUUUCAAUGUAUAUAUUGUUGUURUUUGUCSCCCUAUAUAAAAUAUGGURUGACUGAUUAUUCGAUGGUAGCAAAAAUGAAAAAGAUGUACCCKCKCKKUGAUGCGUUUGACUAUUUUUURUUUUUUGUGAUCAAUGUGAUUUCUUUUUAGUUUCGGAUCAAAUGGCCCGUCUAAUUGUAAACAUUGUGAACAGAAAUAGUCUCAAACUGUGG
rnacentral:rRNA from 1 species